UUAUGAGGCAAUUAGUAAUCUGUGUGGAGGCAGUCGGGAUGUGAUGAGUUGAGAUAAUUAACACAGAACCCAUCGCCCAUAUGUUUUACAGCGUUCAAAUAACACUCCGUAAAUACUCUCUUCAGUCCUGUCUAAGUUAAUCUUCUUCGGUGCAUGCACAGUUUUUAGAUGUUCUCCGCCAUAAGCCUAAUCUUGGUGCCGCAAAUUAGAGAUUGACACGCUUGAUGAAAUGCUGUAUAGAUGUCGAGAGUGAAAUUAUCAAUCAAUCGAAAAAGGUUAUAAAUUUGAAAUAUGUUGAUGUUUUAACCAUUGAGGAAUUACUACACCACCAAUAAACAAAUAAAAUAGAUAAACUCAUUGCCGUUUUUUAAUACAACGUUUUUACCAUCGAAAUAAAAUUUAUUUGUUGUUUACCGAUUUAUAGAGAUAAAAGUAUUGUGAUUGGCAGAUUUAAUUGUCGAUUCGUUUC